AUGAAGUUUUUCCGAGGGUUUUUCAUUUUCAGUGUAAUAAAUUUUUGUGACAUUUUUGCCAGCGGCAGUUUUUUUUUCUUUCGAUGCCGGUGAAGAUCUGGUAGGGGAACCUAAAAUUUAAACAGCCUGUAUUGCAUAAUCAUCCGGUUUCAUCGACUACGCGGGAAUACACCACUUCGAACAGCGCUAGCGGAUUCAUAAAAUUGGGUAAUCCGUAAAGAUCUGCUUGUGAACCUUGGAAAGCUAAAGUUGUUGAGUGUUCGGUACACUAAAAUGGUCCUGAAAACGCACCUCAAAGUAUCCUGCCUUCCACCCUCGGUAAUGGGGGAGACCGUGAUUAGAUCAUCCGUUCACUGUACUUUUAGACGAAUGUCGAAAUAUUGUUCUUAACUGCUAUUAAUGAAUUCCUCAAUAAUUUUGGGAAAAUGUAUAAAUAAUCUUAGAAGAUAGUAGAGAAGCUAUA